GUAAUUUCAGCACUUUGGGAGGCCAAGGCAGGCGGAUCACUUGAGGUUCUGUUUGGAUUCUGCAAAGCAGACUCGUCAGAAAGUUGCUGUGAACUGGACCAACUUCAGCCUCAAGAAAACCACUCCUAGCACAGCUCAGUGAGGCCCUGCCCAGGCUGAGCUGCUUCAGGGCGUCCUGAGGCCCUGACUGCCAGCUGAAGGCGUAUAAUUUUUCCCUCCGUGUGCCCCACCUACCCGUCCAAGACCCUCUGUGCUCCCCACCAUCCUGGACCAACCAAAAGCUGAACGGAUGCCACACUGUGCUGGGGCCCCUUGACCUCAGCAGAGCCGCUUCCUGGUGCUACGCAGCCUCCACACUCAGAGCCCGUGGACUGGGCUGGCCUAAGGGCCAGGG
rnacentral:lncRNA from 1 species